GAUCAUGGCUCAGAUUGAACGCUGGCGGCAUGCCUUACACAUGCAAGUCGAACGGCAGCACGGGUGCUUGCACCUGGUGGCGAGUGGCGAACGGGUGAGUAAUAUAUCGGAACGUACCUUAUCGUGGGGGAUAACGCAGCGAAAGCUGCGCUAAUACCGCAUACGCCCUGAGGGGGAAAGCGGGGGACCGUAAGGCCUCGCGCGAUUAGAGCGGCCGAUAUCUGAUUAGCUUGUUGGUAAGGUAAGAGCUUACCAAGGCGACGAUCAGUAUCUGGUUUGAGAGGACGAUCAGACACACUGGAACUGAGACACGGUCCAGACUCCUACGGGAGGCAGCAGUGGGGAAUUUUCCGCAAUGGGCGAAAGCCUGACGGAGCAAUACCGCGUGAGGGAAGAAUGCCUAUGGGUUGUAAACCUCUUUUUUCAGGGAGGAAUCAAAUGACGUGUACCUGAAGAAUAAGCAUCGGCUAACUCCGUG
rnacentral:rRNA from 1 species